AAGGCAGUCGCUUAACCAACUGAGCCACCCAGGAAUGGAAAAGCCAACAUCACAGAGUUCCCUUAAUGAACACUGAAGUUAAAGAUUCCGGAAGGAGCACAUAACCUAAUGCAUUCCAAGUAGAGAUGAAGAGAUAUUUGCUGGAGACUUACCUAGAAAAGAUAAGUCUAUAAGUUACUAAAUUACCUUCUUGAAAUGUUUAAUCCAGGCCACAGGAAAAAACAGGUUUCAAAUCAGUAAUCAUAGAAGCGUUGAACAAGGACAUUGGAUGAUGAUGGCUAACAAAAUAUAAAAACUCUCUCCAACACAAAUCACCUUUAAUGGCCAUAAAUAUUAUAAAAUAUUAAAUCUAAAGUGGUGAUGGAAAACUAGAAUGUCUUUUAUCAAUUAGUCAUGUUAUUUGAGGAAUCCAUUAAAUACAGAAAAAAGAAGAAAGAGGCUUACAGAAGAGGAUUGAGCAGCAGAUGUGAAAUGGUACCAAAGGAUGCUUCAUGCCCAGAGCAACACAUUCAAACAGUUGGGGAGGCCCCCAGAGAAGGGAUUAUUUGGGUGAAUGCAUGUGGAAUAGCUGGACAGAGUGCUCUUCUUCCCUGGGCAUCAGCUACAUUUGUCCUUGGAACAAAGUGGCAAGGGUGAGUGCCUGCAUCAUUGAAGCCAGACAUAAUCAGACAGAAAUUUUUGGCAUAGUCUACCAGCAUUUUGCUCCCACAGUCUCCUAAGGCUAGCUCUUAUGUCAGAAUGUAUAUCCACAGCCAGGCAAAAACAAACUAUCAAACAAAAAUAUCAGGAGCUAGCAGAAGUAUUGCCAAAAUUUUAAGGAAAACAUGCUUUACUAACAUCAGUUACCAAACCCAAUCUGACAAGAAAUGAAUCUCAAGAUUGUAGAGAGCAAACAGUAAGUAGACUUUAAAGGAAUCUAAUUAACUUAUUCAAAGUGAGUCAAAAUGUUACAAAAAUGUCAGAAAUAAUAAAGGGACCUAUUAUAGAUGUAGGAUAUUAAAUGACUAUAAAAUAAUUGGUGUGACAAGUUUUUUGAAA